AACUGAUGGCAGAAUCCCUUAAAAACGCUGGAGUGUGUGUCAGCAGUGAGGAAGUGCGGUAAAAAAUAAAUAACCUCACUGGGAAAUAUAGGAAAGAAAAGGGGAAUAUUGGUGUGUCAGGUGGAUCACCAUCAGACUGGCCACACUAUCAGCGAGUACAUGCCAUUAUAGGUGGUUUUAAAUGCAAUAACAUAGAAGAACUUGUUGAAGAAAGUGUAUCCAUAGAGUAUUUAUUUAACACUCCAUCGUCGGAAGUACUGGACAUUUCUGGGGCUU